rnacentral:rRNA from 1 species
CCUACGGGAGGCUGCAGUGGGGAAUAUUGGACAAUGGGGGCAACCCUGAUCCAGCCAUGCCGCGUGUGUGAAGAAGGCCCUCGGGUUGUAAAGCACUUUCAGUGAGGAAGAACGCCUGGUGGUUAAUACCCAUCAGGAAAGACAUCACUUACAGAAGAAGCACCGGCUAACUCCGUGCCAGCAGCCGCGGUAAUACGGAGGGUGCGAGCGUUAAUCGGAAUUACUGGGCGUAAAGCGCGCGUAGGUGGCUUGAUAAGCCGGUUGUGAAAGCCCCGGGCUCAACCUGGGAACGGCAUCCGGAACUGUCAAGCUAGAGUGCAGGAGAGGAAGGUAGAAUUCCCGGUGUAGCGGUGAAAUGCGUAGAGAUCGGGAGGAAUACCAGUGGCGAAGGCGGCCUUCUGGACUGACACUGACACUGAGGUGCGAAAGCGUGGGUAGCAAACAGGAUUAGAUACCCUAGUAGUC